rnacentral:rRNA from 1 species
ACGUAGGGGGCAAGCGUUGUCCGGAUUUACUGGGCGUAAAGGGCGCGUAGGCGGCCGCCUAAGUCAGACGUGAAAUCCCCAAGCUUAACUUGGGAACUGCGUCUGAUACUGGGUGGCUUGAGUUCGGGAGAGGAAUGUGGAAUUCCAGGUGUAGCGGUGAAAUGCGUAGAUAUCUGGAGGAACACCGGUGGCGAAGGCGGCAUUCUGGACCGAAACUGACGCUGAUGCGCGAAAGCCAGGGGAGCAAACGGGA